AGCAAGCUGACACAGAAGAUCAAAAAGAAGAAAGAUAUGGACUCUGCCAGCUCGAGAUCGGAUAUGGACUACACUUUAUCCUAGCAAUGGAGAUAAGAUGAUGGCACACCAAGAAAAUGGCUGGAAAGUCUGAUUGGUUUUUUUUUUUUUUUUUUUUUUUUACUGACAGAGAAGCAUCCCAACAAUUCAGACCCAUGUCUUAUUUUUAGGAAGAAUCCCUCCAAAAAAGACAUCCAGCAAGGGUUCCACAGAGUCCUAUACAACAAGGUUUAUAUGGCAGCCAAAAAACAGACAGGAAAAUUCUCCAGAGCUACCAUCCAGGUCCAAAGCCUUACAUAAAGCUUGUAUUUCAAGAA